rnacentral:rRNA from 1 species
CGAACUCGGAGAUAGCUGGUUCUCCUCGAAAUAGCUUUAGGGCUAGCCUCGAGAGGAGUCUAACGGAGGUAAAGCACUGAACUGACGCGGGGCCCAAAAAGGUUACCAACUCAUAUCAAACUAAGAAUGCCGUCAAGAUACCCUCGGGAGUCAGUCUGCGUGAGAUAAGUCGCGUGGACAAAAGGGAAAGAGCCCAGACCGACAGCUAAGGUCCCAAAGUACGUGUUAAGUGGAAAAGGAUGUGGGAUUUCAUAGACAACUAGGAUGUUGGCUUAGAAGCAGCCAUACAUUUAAAGAGUGCGUAAUAGCUCACUAGUCGAGAAAACCUGCGCCGAAAAUGUAACGGGGCUAAAACACGACACCGAAGCUACGGAUUUCCUACUAGGUAGGAAGUGGUAGAGGAGCAUCCUGCAAGGACGAAGCCAAAGUGAGAGCGAUGGUGGACGAAACAGGAGAGAGAAUGCCGGAAUGAGUAGCGAGAUACAUGUGAGAAACAUGUAGGCCGAAUAUCUAAGGAUUCCUGGGUAAAGCUAAUCUUCCCAGGGUUAGUCGGGGCCUAAGGCGAGGACGAGAGUCGUAGUCGAUGGAUAACAGGUUGAUAUUCCUGUACUACACAUAAUCAGAACUGUGGGGACGCAGGAGGAUAGGGAAACCGGGGAAUGGAAAGACCCGGUCAAGCGCAAAGCUGUGGGAGAUAGGCAAAUCCGUCUCCUGUAAGUGAAACGUGAUGAGGACUGAAAAAAAGUAAGGAAGUUUCCGAAUCCACACUGCCGAGAAAAGCCGCUAUUGCGUUAUGUGUACCCGUACCGUAAACCGACACAGGUAGAUGAGGAGAAAAUCCACAGGCCGACGGGAGAAGUGUUGUUAAGGAACUCGGCAAAAUGACCCCGUAACUUCGGGAUAAGGGGAGCCUCGCAAGAGGCCGCAGAAAAGAGGCACAAGCAACUGUUUAGCAAAAACAUAGGUCUAUGCGAAACCGUAAGGUGAAGUAUAUGGGCUGACGCCUGCCCGGUGCUGGAAGGUUAAAAGGAGAGGUCAGCGCAAGCGAAGCUUUGAAUUCAAGCCCCAGUAAACGGCGGCCGUAACUAUAACGGUCCUAAGGUAGCGAAAUUCCUUGUCAGGUAAGUUCUGACCCGCACGAAAGGCGUAAUGAUUUGUGCACUGUCUCGACAACACGCCCGGUGAAAUUGAAGAACCAGUGAAGAUACUGGUUACCCGCAACAGGACGGAAAGACCCCAUGGAGCUUUACUGCAGCCUGAUACUGGGAUUCGAUGAUAUAUGUACAGGAUAGGUGGGAGGCUAAGAAGCGAGAACGCUAGUUUUCGUGGAGCCGCCGGUGGGAUACCACUCUUAUGUCAUUGAAUUUCUAACCUGCAUCCGUAAUCCGGAUGAGGGACAAUGUCAGGCGGGCAGUUUGACUGGGGCGGUCGCCUCCUAAAAGGUAACGGAGGCGCUCGAAGGUCACCUCAGAAUGAUUGGAAACCAUUCAAAGAGUGUAAAGGCAAAAGGUGGCUUGACUGCGAGAGCGACGGCUCG